rnacentral:rRNA from 1 species
UGGGGAAUAUUGCACAAUGGGCGCAAGCCUGAUGCAGCCAUGCCGCGUGUGUGAAGAAGGCCUUCGGGUUGUAAAGCACUUUCAGCGGGGAGGAAGGCGGUGAGGUUAAUAACCUCACCGAUUGACGUUACCCGCAGAAGAAGCACCGGCUAACUCCGUGCCAGCAGCCGCGGUAAUACGGAGGGUGCAAGCGUUAAUCGGAAUUACUGGGCGUAAAGCGCACGCAGGCGGUCUGUCAAGUCGGAUGUGAAAUCCCCGGGCUCAACCUGGGAGCUGCAUUCGAAACUGGCAGGCUAGAGUCUUGUAGAGGGGGGUAGAAUUCCAGGUGUAGCGGUGAAAUGCGUAGAGAUCUGGAGGAAUACCGGUGGCGAAGGCGGCCCCCUGGACAAAGGCUGACGCUCAGGUGCGAAAGCGUGGGGAGCAAACAGG